rnacentral:lncRNA from 1 species
AGAUAAAGCCCAUUAGGUAUUAAAGUAAAUAUCCACAACUCUCGAAAUCCUGCAAGAUAGGAUGAUUUUGAAUCAGUGAUUAGGUCAUAUCUAACCAAUUCUUGGAAACUACCAGCUUUAGCAGUAUUUUGGAGAUCUAAAGCCUUAGCUUGUGUAUGGUCCAGACAUCACCGAGCACCCAAGUAUAAAUUAGCCUUACACUCUCUAACGGAAACUUAAUGACUUCAACUUAAGUUGCAUACUGACCUAGGAUUUGGGCUGACUUAGUAAUUAAAACUUUGUGUGCUUUUGAAAUUAUUGGCACUUAUGCAUUUGAAACUAGAUUUUAUGUAAUGAUAAAAUAAAUUGGAAAGAGACCGCUGUUUGU